GUUCCAGAGAAAACCAAAUUAUCAAGAAAACCGAGGAACCCUCUUAGAUGCCGUUGAUUAUUUUUGUCACAUAUACUUAUUUCCCAAAUUAAAAUCAAUCAUAAUCUAACACACGCAGGGGCAAAAUCGUAAGCAAUCUGUUUUUUAUUAAUUAAAAAUAUUUUAUUUUUGGCAUCUGUCCAAAUCAAAUCAAAGCACACAAAAUACCCUCAAAUCAUUACGUCCGAGAUCAUUACAUAUACACACCGUCCUGAAGAACGACUACUAUUGUAAGAAGAAGAAAGCUACGAGAUCGUGGAAACAUUGUAAUUCAUCAAUUGAAGACUCAUGUAUUCCUUUUCCAGAGAGAAAAUAACAGAGAAGAAUCUCCAUGAGAACACUGGCCAAAAUGACGGAGAAUAAUCUCCAUGCUGAGAUUCUUUUAGGUGUUUAGCUAGGUUCGAGGUUCUUAAGAUUUAUUAAGGUUUCUUUUUAUAAUGUCAUGUUUUAUGGCUUGUGAUUUUGGAUCGCUUGCUAUCUCAGAAUCGUCUUAAAUAUUGGCAAGUGCAGCAAAGUGUUUCUUGUAGCUUUUGUGGAGAGAUUCCUGAUUCUCUUUCACAUUUAUAUUUUCAGUGUGGAUUCUGUUACUUUGUCCUUCUGAAAUUUCAAAAGGGGCUAUUGUUUGCUGUACAAAAGGAAUUGGGAGGAGUAUAUUCGAGAAUCUGCUGUUGCUUGGCAAGGAAAAUCUUUGAAUGUUCUAAUUAAUAAGCUUGUCCUGCUGUAGUUUCUCAUCUUUGGAAUAAGAGAAAACGAAGGCUUUUUCAGAAGAAGAAUAAGUCUGUUGGGUAGAUUAUUGAUGAUAAAUCUGAUGAUAUUUGGAAAAAAUUGCAGGGAUUUCAGUUUUUAAUUCUCCGAGGGUGAGAGAUGAUUUGCUCAGAUAGGGUUUAAAUUCUGAGCUUCUGUUAAUCAAUCAUGUUUGAUAUGGGGGAGGUCUUGGUUUUGGUGACAGUCUAUUUUUGGCUGAGCCAAGAAUCCGCGUCUGCUAUUUGUUUCGGGGUUGUUUUUUUGCAUCAGCCUAGUGGAUUUGUAAGUUGAGUAUUGGCCGCCUGUUAUGGGUGAAAGCCUUCUUUUUUGUAUGUUUAGUCUUGGCCCCUGCUGGGAGAAAAUUUUAUCUGCUGACAUAUGUUUUGGGGCUGUGAGAAUGUUUUAAAAUCUGAUUUAUGGAUUGUCUGGAGCUUUUUUAUUUACCUGUUGAUAGAGAUUUAUUUCUGGAAAAGUCUGCGGAAAGUUGUUGAUGCUGCAGUUCAUUGGGCCAUUGUCUUUUUAUGUUGCUGUGGUAUAAUUGAUGGUAGUCCUAUUUUACUUUUAUGUGAUUGUUCCAGGAUUGCUCUAAUCGCAGGGGAUUGUUCUGCUUGAGUAAUUUCGAGGUGCUGCAGUUUUUUAGGUGGUCUGGCAUAGUUAAAUGUGUGGCAAAUUUUCUGUUUGAUAGUUAGAGGGUCUGUUAUGGGUGGAUGCUGCAGGAGUCGCUGCAAUGUAAGGGGUAUUUUUUUUUUAGUUCUUUUCCUCGACAAUUCCGUUGGCCGAGAUGGUGGUGGAGUCCUUGCUUGCUGCUGUUGCUCGAGUAGAGUGGUUAUGGUGUUAAAGUUGCUUUUAAAUAUUUUCCGGCCGCCUGAUUUCGAGAUGUGCUCUAUUCCUAGCAGUAUUCUUUGAUUAAAUUUUAGGAAUUUAAUUUCGGGGGUCUGUGUAUCCAAGAUAUUUUAUUAAUUUAAAUAAUUAAUAUGUGUGCUA